rnacentral:rRNA from 1 species
AGACAGCAGCAGCCGCGGGAAUACAGAGGGUGCAAGCGUUAAUCGGAAUUACUGGGCGUAAAGCGCGCGUAGGUGGUUUGUUAAGUUGGAUGUGAAAGCCCCGGGCUCAACCUGGGAACUGCAUCCAAAACUGGCAAGCUAGAGUACGGUAGAGGGUGGUGGAAUUUCCUGUGUAGCGGUGAAAUGCGUAGAUAUAGGAAGGAACACCAGUGGCGAAGGCGACCACCUGGACUGAUACUGACACUGAGGUGCGAAAGCGUGGGGAGCAAACAGGAUUAGAUACCCCUGUAGUCCCUGUCUCUUAUAC